UACGUAGGUGGCAAGCGUUGUCCGGAAUUAUUGGGCGUAAAGCGCGCGCAGGCGGUCCUUUAAGUCUGAUGUGAAAGCCCACGGCUCAACCGUGGAGGGUCAUUGGAAACUGGGGGACUUGAGUGCAGGAGAGAAGAGUGGAAUUCCACGUGUAGCGGUGAAAUGCGCAGAUAUCAGGAGGAACACCGGUGGCGAAGGCGGUGAUCUGGGCCGGCACUGACGCUGAGGAGCGAAAGCGUGGGUAGCAAACAGG
rnacentral:rRNA from 1 species